UUUUGGACUUUUCCUUUAAAAAGAAAAAAAGAAAGAAAAGUUUUUCGAGCCGGAGGUUCCAAGAACCGGCGGGAGGGGGCCGCGGCGGGGGCUUUUGCAGCCGGCGCUGGUCGGUUAUGAGUCACGAGCGGGCUAUAAAAGGGUCGCCGGUGCGCAGCGCCGGCUUCCUGUGCUGCAAACCAGGAAGGGGAAGUGUGUGGUUUAAGUUGCAUAUCCCUUAUCCUCUGGCUGCUGGAGGCUUGCUGAAGGCUGUAUGCUGUUAAUGCUAAUUGUGAUAGGGGUUUUGGCCUCUGACUGACUCCUACCUGUUAGCAUUAACAGGACACAAGGCCUGUUACUAGCACUCACAUGGAACAAAUGGCCACCGUGGGAGGAUGACAAGUCCAAGAGUCACCCUGCUGGAUGAACGUAGAUGUCAGACUCUAUCAUUUAAUGUGCUAGUCAUAACCUGGUUACUAGGAUAGUCCACUGUAAGUGUUACGAUAAAUGUCAUUUAAAAGAUAGAUCAGCAGUAUCCUAAACAACAUCUCAACUUCAAGCCCACAUGUUUAUUUUUUAUCUUGAAUGGAAAGUGAAACUUGUAUCAUUUUUAUUUCAAAAUUAUGUUCAUAACCAUCUUCAAUGAUUCAACCAGAAUACAAAAUGAAUGCACUAAAAAGGACAUUUCUAUAUUUCUGUAGUUAAAAUUCAGGACGGCCAUUCUCGACUGACAUCUAGGAUUGUCUGGAAUACCUCUUGUAAGACUUGGAAUUGGCAUUUUUUCCACAUUACAAUGUAUUAGUCAACUUUGAUUUAAAAUUUGUAACUCUUGUGUUUUAGUGUAAGGAAAAAUUUAGGGUUAGUGUUAGAGUUUAGGGCUAGGUAAGGAAAAACUGAGUCAACACUGAAUGAUUUUUUUAAAAUCUAUGAGCCAGCUGUUGGUAGUUUACUCCUUUAAUCCCAGCACUCGGGAGGCAGAGACAGGCAGAUGGCUGAGUCGAAGGCCAGCCUGGUCUACAGAGUGAGCUCCAGGACAGCCUUAGCUACACAGAAAAAUGCCUUAUCAAAAAAUUAAGAAAAUAAGAUGAAGUAUUAAAAAGUGACAUGACAAAUCAUUCCUGAGGGCUACCUAUAUAUUCCUCACACGGUAUAAAUAUUUAAUUUAAUUAAUAUUUAAUUUCAAAUAUUCACAUUUGAAAUGAAACCCAAAUCUGGGUUCAAGCUUACUGCUUUAGCUGCACAGUAAAGCUGUGUAGUAAGGAGACCCACGUUUCCUACGCAUUUCUUCAUGAAUGCGGAUGAAACUUUACAAGGUUGGUGUGCAGCUCACUGGAGAUGAACAACUCUUUGUAAGGUAAUAAAAUCCCACAGUGAUGUCUUAAA
ensembl:lincRNA Mir155hg Mir155 host gene (non-protein coding)